UGCAUUCACUACUGUAAGUCGCUCUGGAUAAGAGUGUCUGCUAAAUGACCAAUG
rfam:Salmo salar isolate Sally breed double haploid chromosome ssa28, whole genome shotgun sequence.